AUGCCUGCAGCCCCCUCCAAGGCCGCCCCACCCACAGAGGUAUGUGAUGGAGUGGGAUCCGACUGAAGGAAGCAGCAAUCUAAAUUGCAAUGAAAAUAUCUUUUCAGCUUUGCAGAUUUUACAGUAACAGGUGACCAUGUAAACACCUUGGCAAGACUCCUCCAGGGCCGUGGAAGGGUCCAAUGCAAGUGACAAGUCCUGAGGUUAAGCUUCAUUGACCUCAUGGCGAAAGGGAGGUCUCUAGUCCACGGAAGAGAAAGCGCCACAGCUCUCAACGUUCUCGACAGAAUGUGGCACGCAACCACAAGAGCAGAGUGGAGGCUGUUGCCUGGACAAACUGAGAAGCAAGAAGUCUCAGGUGCUUGGUCCACGGAAGAAGAGGGAGGCCCUGGAUCUGCCAUUGUGAUCAGAGUGAGGCCACGUGGAGAAAACGUGGAGGAGAGAAACCAUGAAGGCGUCGUGAGGCCACGUGCAGUAGUCACAGCCCGGCAAGUAGCAAGCACAGGUGUGGAACUGAUUCGACUUUUAAUGCCAGUUUAUCUACUUAUCUAUUUACCAGAUUGAUGAAUCUGAGAAGGUCGCCUACACAUUCUGAGUUUCAGGUUUUCCAUCUAUAAUACGGGAAGAGACUACUUGCCUUCCAAGUUUGUUGUGAGAAUUAAGACAACAUAUGUAAAACCCCUAGUACAGAAGCGUGCAGGUAAUGCUCCCGUAAGAGAUGUUAUUUCUCCACGCCAUAAAAAAUCAGUGUCAAAGUUACUGCAAUAAAAAUAUUCCAGUUGACAAACGUUCCUUGGAUUUUCUUUUCUCCUUAUCGCCUUUUGCUUUCAUCUCUUUCUCUGGCUAUUUAAUCCUAAUAGUUUUCAUUGAAAAUAAUAGCUCCCAUUAUUAGAAGGUGUACUUUGUGCUCGUACUUUACAUACGUUAUCUCUAAUCUCGACAGUCAUGAAUCAAAGCAGAUAGUGCCAUUUUACAGGUUAGGGGAUGCGCAUUCAGAGAGAUUAGUGACUGGUGUAGCCUGUUAGUAUAAGACAAAGCCAGAAUAGCAUUUUGAUGCAACUGGUUGGGGAGGAGAAACCCCAGUGGCAUUGUUUACUCUUGGAGUUUUUCUCAGGAGAAUUAUGAAAGACACACCAUUGUUUUACAUUUCAAACCACAGUGACCUGUGUAACUAAAGAACCUAUAAGUCCCUCAACAGGAAAAAGUGGAAACUGACCCAGAGGAUGCCAGACAGAGGAUAUAUCCAGUCGCAGUUCUUACCAGCAUACGGGUAAGAUAAUGUUCUUGGACUUCACAUAGGUUAAUCUAAAAUUGAGAUUUUU
rnacentral:lncRNA from 1 species